CUUAUGCUUCAUAUGUUAGCACGCCUUAUCUCCACACUCUUCCACUACUCUGAUAUUGUCGUAUCAUGUACUGUGAGUAAUAACCCUUAUAGGGUUAUGACUGUCUGUAUUACUACCAUGAUGAAAUAAAAGUGUUUAUUCACUACUUCCAAUCUUCCAGUACUGAGUUAUCUAUUAGUAUCUAGCGUACGGAUACUUGAACUGCGUGUCUGUCCCAGUUGAAGGCAGGUGGCCGUGUUUGGGAGUUUAGCAGAUCGUUGAGGCGCAAAAGAUACGAUUAGAGACUUUGACAGUGAAGAGGAAGGCAGUGGACCCAUUAUCUCCAGGUACGGAGAAUCUUGACGUCGAAAUCAAAAUUAAGGAAAAGGAGAUAAUAAUCCUUAAAGAGCAGCUUGAGCUGCUCUAUAUGAAAAAGGCAAGGUUAUCAACUGAGCCAAAGGAAGAGGUUAACCCCUCAAAACAAGAAGUGGCUGAAAUGCCCCAACAACAAAAGAAAACUCCAUUAGUUGAGGACAAGAAGUGGUACGUUGUUUAUAACGGCCCAAAUCCAGGAAUAUAUGGUACUUGGCCUGAAGCCAGUAAAGCCAUAGCAGGAAUCAGUGGUUUGAUCCACAAGUCUUUCAAAGACAGAAUUGAAGCAGAGGGUAGUCUGGCUAAAUUCAAUAUGCCAAAACUUCUGCGCCCAGUUGAUGUUAUCAGUAAAAUGGUAACAGGGGAACCUUUAAGAAUCAAGGAUACUACUUAUGUCCGAAAAGUAAGGGAUUUACCUCCCAAACCUAAUCAUUUUACUACCUUGGGAAAAAUUCCUAUUGUAGCUCCCUUACAGGAAUAUACCAAGGAGAUGAAGAAGGAUCUCAUGCAAAUCACCCCAUUAACAUGGUUCCAAUUCAGCAACAAAGCAAGACUCCACUUAGGAGAAUCUAUGGAGGAAGAUUGUUUCUUCACCACAGAAGAUGCAACCUUACGGUUCAAAGUACAAUCUGCUUGAAGGAUCAGAUCCAAUAAUGGUUUAUCAGUUAUUUCAAUGUGGAUUAAUUGAAAACCUUUAUCCAGCAAACAAUCUGGUUGAAUUAUCUUUAUUCCCAAAUAAUUUUAGGAAAGCAAUUAAGAAUUUCAGGAAACGAGUCAAAGCCAAUGACAAACAAGUUUGAAGUUCUACAGUUCCAUUAUCGAUUGGGACAAUGAAGGAAAUGAGAGGACACCGUACCAUCUCAUCAAGCUAGGAAUUGCUUCUCCAAAAAGAGUAGCAGCACAACCAGCAGUUAUGGAUGCCAGAGAAGAAGACAUAGAGCUACUUCAUCAUGAACGUGCCUAUAUGCUCUCUAUCAUCGCUCAGGAAUUGAUAAAGAUCAAUGGUGAGAGUGAAAUCCGUGUCAAUUACUGAACUACCAAGAUCUUGAUGUUUAGUCAAAGCAAUCAACCACUAAAUAAUGAGGAUGUUGAAAAAAUUGUCCACUUUGAAGGAAGAUUCAACAGCAACAGCCUGGAUGUCAGUUUGAAGACUAGAAAGCUGUACUGUCAGAUCACACAUAGCAAGGUUAAGGACCACAAGUGUUUAUUGUGCCCAACCACCUCUGACGAAGAAGGAAGUGUCGGUACCACCAAAAGUCCAGAGUUGGCAACCAAAUCUGAAGGCUAAUUAUGUAACUGCAAACCACCCAAUUAAUACCAAGGGUCUUGUCUUGGUAUCUAUCCAAUAUAAAUAAGGCCUUAUUCCUCGUAUGUUAGCAUGCCUUAUCUCCACCACUCUUCCACUACUUCGAUAUUCUCUUACCAUGUACUGUGAGUAAUAACCCUUGUAGGGUUAUGAGUGUCUGUAUUACAACCAUGAUGAAAUAAAAGUGUUCGUUCACUACUUCCAAUCUUUCAGUACUAAGUUAUCUAUUAGUAUCUAGCGUACAGAUACUUGUAUUGUAUGUUUGUCCCAAUUGAAGGCAGUGGCCGUGUUUGGAAGUUUAGCAGAUUAUUGAGGCGUAGAAGAUACGAUUAGAGACUUUGACAAUGAAGCAGAAGGCAGUGGACCCAUUAUUUCUAGGUGAAAUGAUGCUAGGAAGAGUGGAUUUAAGACGAACAACCAUAAUUUUGAUGAUGAUUUUGUAGCUCACAUUGGUCAAAUUGACAUGCCUGUAAUGUUUGAGUUGACUUGGGUUUGUAUUUUUGGGAUAUGUACAAUAUUGGUAUGGUUCAUUUAUUUAAGCAAUUUCCCAUUUUGAAAGAAAUUUUGCACCGUAUGGACGUAUGGAUGACUUCACGUUUGAUAAUAUCCCAAUAAUGUCUAUAGAAAAGUGUCAUCAUUCCGUUGGGCCAGGUGCUUUUUGGUAGGGGAUUCGUUUUAGAGCUUUGAAGAUUUCAACUUCAUUUGGUAUUGCACUUAGAAAAUCAUUUUUUAUGUAUGGAAUAUGCCUUUCAAAGAGGUUUUCUAGGUGACUCGGAUUUAUAGAAUUCGAUGAAGCAUAAAUAUUUCGGAAAUAGUCAAUUAAAGUUGUUUCAAUUAAAGAUUGGUCAAUCGACCAAAUACCUGGGCCGAGUAUGAUGAAGUCUAUUGCAUUUCUUCUCCUCUUGAUGGCUGUCGAGAGAUGGUAGAAUUUGGUGUUGAGGUUUGGUUGUCAACCAUGAUAUUCGGGAUUUUUGCCUUCACAGUGUUUCUUCAUUUUCAAAUGCUUAUGAAGAUCUUGUUCAAGUUUUUGCUCUCUCAUCUGAUUCUAAGGAGUUGGGGAUGAACUUGCAAUUCUAGGAGAUCUCUUUCAAUAUUAUGGAUAUGGAAUUGGAUUUUGCCGAAGUGAACUUUAUUCUAAUGUUUUAAUGAUGCUUUAGUUGCCGUAAUAUUUCUGCACAGAAUAUAGGCUGGAGUUCUUCUGAAUUACUUGUUCCACGCUUCUUGAAUAAUUACCCGACUAAGCGGUUCAUGUUUCUAAAAUUCUUCAAAUUUAAAAGAAUGUGGCCAGCUCUGAAGAACAAUUGUACUUAGAAGAAGGGGACUAUGAUCGGAGGCCAAGGAUGUCAAGUUUUGUAAAGAAAUGUCUGGAAAAAGCAUUCUCCAUUCUUGGUUGACUAUCCCCUGAUCCAAUCUUUCUCUAAUAAAUGCUCCACCAUGUCUAUUAUUACUCCAAGUGAACAAAGGGCCAGAAUAUCCAAUGUCAAUUAGACCAUGUCUAUCCAUUAAAUUUCUUAAUCCUCCAUUUAAAGUUGUUGCCAUUGGGCGUCCCCCUUGUUUUUUCAAAUUGCUUUAUUAAGUCAUUAAAAUCCCCUACACAGCACCUAGGUCCUGGAAUUGAUCUAGAUAUGGAGUCUUUGUGAUUCCAAAAAAAUUGUUUGAGUUGCCAUUGUGCUUGUGCAUAACAAAGGUGAUGAGUCAUGGAUGAUAAUGAGGAGCAGAGUAGAUUAAAAUAGAUUUUGCAUUCAUAUUAAUAUUAAGUAGUUCAAUAUCUACAAUCGGUCGUCAUACAAGCAAAUGACCUCCUUUGUUGCGUGAGGCCGGAAUAUUCACAAAAUUCUAAAAACUCAAGCUAUUUACAAUAAAUAUGGUGCGUUUAGAUGACACCAUAGUUUUCGACAAAAAAAUAAUAUCCAAGUUAUAUUUUCUAAUAUCAGCCCUUCAUGAUCUGAUUGUUUUGGGGCGGACCAAAACUUGCAA